UACAGACAAUACGCUGGACCACGCUGGAUUCAAGGCAGAUGGCCAUGCAAUUAUUGAUAUAUUUUUCCGAUGCGUGAUUGAAGCAUUUUUUAUUUUAUGAGCAUUAAAAGCUAAUUGUAUUUUCACUUUUUCUUCAACGAGCAUGUCAUCCAAGUCUAGAAGAAGUUUAUCAUCAUUAACAACAUGUGACAAAUGUCAAUGCACUUAUGCACAAAAGGAUGCAUCCUUACAUGAAUCAAAUUGUCCACCUUCUUUUGAAGAUUGGAACCAUAAUUUUAUUCUCAAUGAUACUUUGCAUAGUACCUUAGAAAUCUAUAAUGCUUCAGUACCAGCAAAUAUAUCCGUAAGAGACUUAAAUGAUAUGGUGUUCAUGUCACAAUCUGUGAUGCAAUUAUGCAAUGUUGCAAUAGGAGAUCCUGUCACUGUUGCAACAAAAAAUAAUAUAAUUGUCAAAAUAGCUUGGCCUACCAACGAUAAGUCAUUAUUGAGCGUUUCCUUAUCUAAGCCUACCAUUGAAUUAAAUAACUUGAAAGAUCUGAUUAAGGUACAAAAUGUGAAGCAUGAUAUAGUUGUAGCUAAAGAAUUUACUGUCAAAUGUACCGGAAAACAUGCAUUACCGCAUAUGUCUACAGAUCUAGAGAUACUUUUUAAGAACUGCAAUGAACACAAAAUAUUUUGCAUCGGAAAUAAAAUAAGUAUCCCAUACUACGGAAGAAAAUUGACAUAUAUAAUCAUAGCGGCUUCAGUAGAUCAGAAUGAAAAUACGACAGAUACAGAUGAUGAUUUACUAUUGGCUUUUAAUUAUCUACAUUUAACUACAGAUGAAUCCUAUGUAAAAUAUUAUAAGGCUAUGUAUUCUACAAAAUGGAUCAUUCAGGAAGAUGUAUCAGUGGUUGAAGAAGAACAAAAAAAAGUAAAGUAUAAAAUAGAAGAUAUAGGAGGAUAUAAUGAUUUAAUAGCAGAUAUAAAAGAUGUAGUGGACAUUGCAUUAGGUAAAUGUAAUAUUGGUGAUUUUUUUAUCAGCAAAGGAAUUUUACUCUAUGGUACUCCUGGCGUUGGCAAAUCCACAAUUGCUAAUGCUAUUAUAUCAGAGUACAAUGUCAACUCUUUUAAUGUUCACAGUUCAGACAUUUAUAGUAAAUCUAUGGGUGAAACUGAGAGGAAGCUGAAAGAAAUUUUUGCAGAAGCAAAAGCUAAAACUCCAAGUAUAAUAUUGUUGGAAGAUAUUGAUACAUUAUGUCCAAAAAGGAGUAGCUCGAGUACAGAUCAGGAAAGAAGAGUUCUUGCUCAAAUAAUAUCACUUUUUGAUGAAUUACAGAAUACAAAAAAUAAUAUUAUUAUACUAGCUACUACAUCAAGAAUUGAAUUUGUAGAUGCAUCUUUAAGAAGACCUGGCAGAAUCGAUAAAGAAUUCGAAGUUUACGUACCUAUUCAAAGUACACGCUUCGAAAUAUUAUUUAAGUUACUUAGAAAGGUACCAAAUACUCUAUCACAAAAAGAUUUAAUAAAUAUUUCUUUUUCUACUCAUGGCUUUGUUGGUGCUGACAUAUACGGUCUGUGUUCGCAAGCAUUGAUGGCUGCCAUUAAACGUCAGCAUUCUAUUAAUGCUACUGAUAUUAAAGCAAAUGAUGAGAUAAAUAUAACAGUAGAUGACUUUAAUAAAGCUUUAACUGUAACUAAACCCUCUGCUAUGAAAGAAAUUUUAGUAGAAGUUCCUACAGUUAGAUGGUCUGAUAUAGGUGGACAGAAAGAAUUAAAAUUAAAAUUAAAACAAUCUAUUGAGUGGCCUUUGAAUCAUCCUGAAGCAUUUGCCAGAAUGGGAAUAACACCACCUAGAGGAGUACUUAUGUUUGGUCCUCCUGGUUGUUCCAAAACCAUGAUUGCUAAAGCUCUUGCUACAGAAAGCGGUGUCAAUUUUUUAAAUAUUAGGGGUCCAGAACUAUUUUCGAAAUGGGUUGGUGAAUCUGAAAAAGCUGUACGUGAAGUUUUUCGAAAAGCUCGUCAGGUUGCACCCUCUAUUAUUUUCAUAGAUGAAAUUGAUGCUCUUGGAGGAGAAAGGGGAUCUUCAUUAAGUGGUAAUGGAAGUAAUGUUCAAGAACGAGUCUUGGCGCAAUUACUUACAGAAUUAGAUGGUGUUACAACCUUAGGAAAUGUUACAUUAGUAGCAGCCACAAACCGCCCUGAUAAAAUAGACAAGGCUCUACUUCGCCCUGGUCGUUUGGAUAGAAUAAUUUACGUGGGAUUACCAGACUGUAAAACCAGACAAGAAAUAUUUGAUAUAAAGCUUAAAAAAAUGCCAAUCGCAGAAGAUGUAAAUAUAUUGGAUUUAGUCGAGAUCACAGAAGGUUACUCUGGAGCUGAAAUUCAAGCAAUAUGUCACGAAGCAGCAAUGAACGCGCUCGAGGAGAGCUUAGAUGCUGCUAUUAUUACCAAAGAUCAUUUCAAAGUUGCACUUUCAAUAGUGACUCCAAGAACACCGAAGUCUCUUAUACAAUUAUAUGAGAACUAUAUGAAUAAAAUAUAUUAAAUAGAUUAUAUGGUAAUAAUAAUAAUAUUUUCAUACUUUACAGUUCAUAUAAUGCUACAACUUCAAGAUAUACAUAUAAUUAAGAAUAAAACAAAAGAUAUAAUUUGUAUAAUUUAUUAAAAAUGUCAACGUGUUAAGAAGAAACUCAAAAAAUUAAAAGUAAAAUUGUUGCCCACAUAGCCCACCAGUUUGCAGUUAUCCACCUUUACCACCAUGUGAUCCUUGCUUUUGUUGUAAACCACGACCUGUUUGCAUAAAAUUACCUCCACCACCUCCACCAAUUUGCCCCCCAUGGCCACCUCCACACUCCGGCCCACUUCCUGAUAAAAAUUAUUACGCUCCCUCAUCCUAACGUUUUUAUUCAUCUACAGUUCAAAAAUUGUUGUUUUUUUUUAUAUAUAUAUAUAUAUAUGAAUUUGUAAUAUCAUAGUUACACGAAUCAGUACAUCUGUUUUUACGAAGAUUCUCAAUUAUUAUAUCACCAAACUUCACACUUUUCUUAUACAAUAUUGGUGUCUUAUAAAAUUCGUAAACGUAUAAAAAUUUUUGUAAAAUUAUUCCCAAGUAACAAAUAUGUCGGUGAUGGUAAAAUGUCAAGGCACAUACGAUAAAAAAGCUUUAAAGGCCAUUAUCGAAAGGUGCAAUUUAAUUAUUUUCAUAUAAAAUAAAUGAUAUACAUGCUCAUUAUUUUUAAUUUUUUUUCAGUUGCGGUUGCUGUCCACCGCCCGAACCUUCAUGUCCAGCCAUUUUCUGUGUGCCAUCUCCAUGCUGCCCACCACCUCCUUGUAAUCCAUGUCCACCAUGCUGCCCACCACCUUCUUGUAACCCAUGUCCGCCAUGCUGCCCACCACCUUCUUGUAACCCAUGUCCACCAUGCUGCCCACCACCUUGUAAUCCAUGUGCUCCAUGCUGCCCACCAUCUCCUUGUAAUCCAUGUGCUCCAGAAUGUGAUCCCUGUUGUACUAUUCCUCUGGUUCCGCCGGUUGGACUAGCUUCUUCGAGACCUUGUGGCCCAUGUGCUCCAAGUACUCCAGUACCAUGUAUGACGUGCCCUCCGUUAGGACCUAUCCCACCAUGUCCACCAUGUCCUUUCAUAUGUCCACCUUGCACCGGUUAUCCUUGUGUUACGACUGCACCUAUACCAAAACCAGUACCAGCACCCUGUGAGCCUAUCAUGCCUGUCGUUCGGACACCGAUUAAUACGGGUGGACUUUUUUACAUCGGUACCAGUAAAUGUUACCCUUGUUUACCACCUGCUUGUCCAACACCAUGCAUGCCGUGUACGCCUAUACCUGGAAUGUCUCUUACAUGUUGAUUCUAUGAUAAUUAAUUAUGAUAUAAAUCGUAACAAUUUUAAUUAUAGAACUUUUGCGCAAUUUAAACUAACUGAAUUAUAAAUAAUUCAUAUUAUCUGAUUUAUCAACGUGUAUGAUUAUUUAAUAAAAGGAAAGCUAUAAAACC